rnacentral:rRNA from 1 species
UACAGAGGGUGCGAGCGUUGUUCGGAAUCACUGGGCGUAAAGCGCGUGUAGGCGGCCCAUUAAGUCUGAUGUGAAAGCCCGGGGCUCACCCCCGGAAGUGCAUUGGAAACUGAUGGACUCGAGUCCCGGAGAGGAGAGUGGAAUUCCUGGUGUAGCGGUGAAAUGCGUAGAUAUCUGGAGGAACACCGGUGGCGAAGGCGGGUCUCUGGGCAACUACUGACGCUGAGGAGCGAAAGCGUGGGGAGCGAACAGG